CACCGCGGUUAUACGAGGGGCCCAAGUUGAUAAAUGCCGGCGUAAAAUGUGGUUGGCAGCUUUUUAUACUAAAGCUAAACAUCUUCAGAGCUGUUAUACUCUUAUGAAGACAGGAAAAACUUCUACGAAAGUGGCUUUAAAUUAUGCUAAUCCACGAAAGCUAGGGAA
rnacentral:rRNA from 1 species